rnacentral:rRNA from 1 species
GGUUAAGUUAGAAAGGGCGCACGGUGGAUGCCUUGACACUAGGAGUCGAUGAAGGACGGGACUAACGCCGAUAUGCUUCGGGGAGCUGUAAGUAAGCUUUGAUCCGAAGAUUUCCGAAUGGGGAAACCCACCAUACGUAAUGGUAUGGUAUCCUUAUCUGAAUACAUAGGGUAAGGAAGACAGACCCAGGGAACUGAAACAUCUAAGUACCUGGAGGAAGAGAAAGCAAAUGCGAUUUCCUGAGUAGCGGCGAGCGAAACGGAACAUAGCCCAAACCAAGAGGCUUGCCUCUUGGGGUUGUAGGACAUUCUAUACGGAGUUACAAAGGAACGAGGUAGACGAAGCGACCUGGAAAGGUCCGUCGUAGAGGGUAACAACCCCGUAGUCGAAACUUCGUUCUCUCUUGAAUGUAUCCUGAGUACGGCGGAACACGUGAAAUUCCGUCGGAAUCUGGGAGGACCAUCUCCCAAGGCUAAAUACUCCCUAGUGAUCGAUAGUGAACCAGUACCGUGAGGGAAAGGUGAAAAGCACCCCGGAAGGGGAGUGAAAGAGAUCCUGAAACCGUGUGCCUACAAAUAGUCAGAGCCCGUUAACGGGUGAUGGCGUGCCUUUUGUAGAAUGAACCGGCGAGUUACGAUCCCGUGCGAGGUUAAGCUGAAGAGGCGGAGCCGCAGCGAAAGCGAGUCUGAAUAGGGCGUUUAGUACGUGGUCGUAGACCCGAAACCAGGUGAUCUACCCAUGUCCAGGGUGAAGUUCAGGUAACACUGAAUGGAGGCCCGAACCCACGCACGUUGAAAAGUGCGGGGAUGAGGUGUGGGUAGCGGAGAAAUUCCAAUCGAACCUGGAGAUAGCUGGUUCUCCCCGAAAUAGCUUUAGGGCUAGCCUUAAGUGUAAGAGUCUUGGAGGUAGAGCACUGAUUGGACUAGGGGUCCUCAUCGGAUUACCGAAUUCAGUCAAACUCCGAAUGCCAAUGACUUAUCCUUAGGAGUCAGACUGCGAGUGAUAAGAUCCGUAGUCAAAAGGGAAACAGCCCAGACCGCCAGCUAAGGUCCCAAAGUGUGUAUUAAGUGGAAAAGGAUGUGGAGUUGCUUAGACAACUAGGAUGUUGGCUUAGAAGCAGCCACCAUUUAAAGAGUGCGUAAUAGCUCACUAGUCGAGUGACUCUGCGCCGAAAAUGUACCGGGGCUAAAUACACCACCGAAGCUGCGGAUUGAUACCAAUGGUAUCAGUGGUAGGGGAGCGUUCUAAGGACAGUGAAGUCAGACCGUAAGGACUGGUGGAGUGCUUAGAAGUGAGAAUGCCGGUAUGAGUAGCGAAAGACGGGUGAGAAUCCCGUCCACCGAAUGCCUAAGGUUUCCUGAGGAAGGCUCGUCCGCUCAGGGUUAGUCAGGACCUAAGCCGAGGCCGACAGGCGUAGGCGAUGGACAACAGGUUGAUAUUCCUGUACCACCUCUUUAUCGUUUGAGCAAUGGAGGGACGCAGAAGGAUAGAAGAAGCGUGCGAUUGGUUGUGCACGUCCAAGCAGUUAGGCUGAUAAGUAGGCAAAUCCGCUUAUCNNNNNNNNNNNNNNNNNNNNNNNNNNNNNNNNNNNNNNNNNNNNNNNNNNNNNNNNNNNNNNNNNNNNNNNNNNNNNNNNNNNNNNNNNNNNNNNNNNNNUAAAGGCUGAGCUGUGAUGGGGAAGCUCCUUAUGGAGCGAAGUCUUUGAUUCCCCGCUGCCAAGAAAAGCUUCUAGCGAGAUAAAAGGUGCCUGUACCGCAAACCGACACAGGUAGGCGAGGAGAGAAUCCUAAGGUGUGCGAGAGAACUCUGGUUAAGGAACUCGGCAAAAUGACCCCGUAACUUCGGGAGAAGGGGUGCUUUCUUAACGGAAAGCCGCAGUGAAUAGGCCCAAGCGACUGUUUAGCAAAAACACAGCUCUCUGCGAAGCCGUAAGGCGAAGUAUAGGGGGUGACACCUGCCCGGUGCUGGAAGGUUAAGGAGAGGGGUUAGCGUAAGCGAAGCUCUGAACUGAAGCCCCAGUAAACGGCGGCCGUAACUAUAACGGUCCUAAGGUAGCGAAAUUCCUUGUCGGGUAAGUUCCGACCCGCACGAAAGGUGUAACGAUUUGGGCACUGUCUCAACCAGAGACUCGGUGAAAUUAUAGUACCUGUGAAGAUGCAGGUUACCCGCGACAGGACGGAAAGACCCCGUGGAGCUUUACUGUAGCCUGAUAUUGAAUUUUGGUACAGUUUGUACAGGAUAGGCGGGAGCCAUUGAAACCGGAGCGCUAGCUUCGGUGGAGGCGCUGGUGGGAUACCGCCCUGACUGUAUUGAAAUUCUAACCUACGGGUCUUAUCGACCCGGGAGACAGUGUCAGGUGGGCAGUUUGACUGGGGCGGUCGCCUCCUAAAGUGUAACGGAGGCGCCCAAAGGUUCCCUCAGAAUGGUUGGAAAUCAUUCGUAGAGUGCAAAGGCAUAAGGGAGCUUGACUGCGAGACCUACAAGUCGAGCAGGGACGAAAGUCGGGCUUAGUGAUCCGGUGGUUCCGCAUGGAAGGGCCAUCGCUCAACGGAUAAAAGCUACCCCGGGGAUAACAGGCUUAUCUCCCCCAAGAGUCCACAUCGACGGGGAGGUUUGGCACCUCGAUGUCGGCUCAUCGCAUCCUGGGGCUGUAGUCGGUCCCAAGGGUUGGGCUGUUCGCCCAUUAAAGCGGUACGCGAGCUGGGUUCAGAACGUCGUGAGACAGUUCGGUCCCUAUCCGUCGUGGGCGUAGGAAAUUUGAGAGGAGCUGUCCUUAGUACGAGAGGACCGGGAUGGACGCACCGCUGGUGUACCAGUUGUUCUGCCAAGGGCAUAGCUGGGUAGCUAUGUGCGGAAGGGAUAAGUGCUGAAAGCAUCUAAGCAUGAAGCCCCCCUCAAGAUGAGAUUUCCCAUAGCGUAAGCUAGUAAGAUCCCUGAAAGAUGAUCAGGUUGAUAGGUUCGAGGUGGAAGCAUGGUGACAUGUGGAGCUGACGAAUACUAAUAGAUCGAGGACUUAACCAU